rnacentral:rRNA from 1 species
AGUGAACGCUGGCGGUAGGCCUAACACAUGCAAGUCGAACGGCAGCACAGAGGAGCUUGCUCCUUGGGUGGCGAGUGGCGGAUGGGUGAGGAAUACAUCGGAAUCUACUCUGUCGUGGGGGAUAACGUAGGGAAACUUACGCUAAUACCGCAUACGACCUACGGGUGAAAGCAGGGGAUCUUCGGACCUUGCGCGAUUGAAUGAGCCGAUGUCGGAUUAGCUAGUUGGCGGGGUAAAGGCCCACCAAGGCGACGAUCCGUAGCUGGGCUGAGGGGAUGAUCAGACACACUGGAACUGAGACACGGUCCAGACUCCUACGGGAGGCAGCAGUGGGGAAUAUUGGACAAUGGGUGCAAGCCUGAUCCAGCCACACCGCGUGGGUGAAGAAGGCCUUCGGGUUGUAAAGCCCUUUUGUUGGGAAAGAAAUCCAUCUGGUUAAUACCGGGGUGGGAUGACGGUACCCAAAGAAUAAGCACCGGCUAACUUCGUGCCAGCCGCCGCAGUAA